AACGAACGCUGGCGGCAUGCCUAACACAUGCAAGUCGAACGCUCCGCAAGGGGAGUGGCGCACGGGUGAGUAACACGUGGGAACCUGCCUAUCGGUUCGGAACAACGUCUGGAAACGGACGCUAAUACCGGAUAUUCCCUCAGGGGGAAAGAUUUAUCGCCGAUAGAGGGGCCCGCGUCCGAUUAGGUGGUUGGUGGGGUAAUGGCCUACCAAGCCGACGAUCGGUAGCUGGUCUGAGCGGAUGAUCCGCCACACUGGGACUGAGACACGGCCCAGACUCCUCCGGGAGGCAGCAGGGGGGAAUAUUGGCCAAUGGGUGCAAGCCUGUUCCAGCAAGGCCGCGUGAGUGAUGAAGGCCUUAGGGUUGUAAAGCUCUUUCGCACGUGACGAUGAUGCCGGUAACGUGAGAAGAAGCCCCGGCUAACUUCGUGCCAGCAGCCGCCGUAAUAC
rnacentral:rRNA from 1 species